rnacentral:lncRNA from 1 species
CACCAGCACAAGCACCAGACGAUGCUGAUCCAGGUGAAGGCCCCAGUGCAGCAGCAACAGCACAUGAUGGAGACGAUGAUGAGGAGGAGACCAUCUCUCUGGAUUCCAGAAGGCAUGAGGACCCAGAUGCUAUACAGUGGGAAAACCAGCCUGGCAACAUAAGCUCACAAGCUAUCAGAAAGUUGUAUGGCAACCACCUCCGGCGCCAAAUAGAACUGGCAGACAUAGACAUUCAGUACAAGAAGAAAAAGAUGGAAAAUCUUGCACUGGAGUCCGAAAUAAAAAAGAGGACAAUUAGGAAACUGGACCUUGAAAUAAAAAAACUUGAGAGGGAGCUCCAAGAAGAUGACACAGCUCAAAAUAAAAAUUAGGUAUAUUCUCGUAAAGUCAAGUGAGCCAUGACAUAUGAGCUCUUAUUGUGAGCACA